AUUCCAGCUCCAAUAGCGUAUAUUAAAGUUGUUGCAGUUAAAAAGCUCGUAGUUGAACUUCAGACCUGGCCGGGCGGUCUGCCUCACGGUAUGUACUGUCUGGCUGGGUCUUACCUCUUGGUGAGCCGGCAUGCUCUUCACUGGGUGUGUCGGGGAACCAGGACUUUUACCUUGAGAAAAUUAGAGUGUUCAAAGCAGGCCUAUGCCCGAAUACAUUAGCAUGGAAUAAUAAAAUAGGACGUGCGGUUCUAUUUUGUUGGUUUCUAGAGUCGCCGUAAUGAUUAAUAGGGAUAGUUGGAGGCAUUAGUAUUCAGUUGCUAGAGGUGAAAUUCUUGGAUUUACUGAAGACUAACUACUGCGAAAGCAUUUGCCAAGGAUGUUUUCAUCA
rnacentral:rRNA from 1 species